ensembl:misc_RNA Metazoa_SRP Metazoan signal recognition particle RNA
GCCAGGCAUGGUGGCGCGUGCCUGGAAUCCCAGCUACUUGGGCUGAUUCAGGAGAAUUGCUUGAACCCAGGAGGCAGAGGUUGCGGUGAGCUGAGAUUGUGCCAUUGCACGCCACCCUGGGCAACAAGAGCGAAACUCCAUCUCAAAAGAAAAAAAAAAUUGUUCCUUCUCCCGGGAGUUUAGGAACAGCAGGUUACCUAAGGAGGGGUGAAGGGAGGUCUCCAGGUCGGAAACGGAGCAGGUCAAAACUCCCAUGCUGAUCAGUAGUGGGAUUGUGCCAGUGAAUAACCACUGCUGUCCAGCAUUGGCAACAUAGUGAGACCCUAUCUCUU